CGUCGUUAUCAAGAGCGGCGCACAUUCGUGUGCCCAGCAACCUGGGGUGGACACCCAAGGUGCUUUCCUACUUUGUAGGGAUAUGGCGACGGCUCUAAGUCGGCGCAACAAAGUGUCCCAUGA
rnacentral:ncRNA from 1 species